rnacentral:misc_RNA from 1 species
GAUGAAGAACGUAGCGAAAUGCGAUAAGUAAUGCGAAUUGCAGAAUCCGUGAGUCAUCGAAUCUUUGAACGCAUAUUGCGCCCUUUGGCAUUCCGAAGGGCAUGCCUGUUCGAGCGUCAUUAUCACCCCUCAAGCCCCGGCUUGGUGUUGGGCCCCCGGUGGUCGUACCCGACCACCCGCCUCAAAGAUAGUGACGGCGUCCCAGAGGGAACCGGUACGAGGAGCUUUCACGAGCAUGUACGCGGGGACGACUCCGUGGGCGACGGUCUUUUUUAACCUUAAUAUAUCAAGUGUUGACCUCGGAUCAGGUAGGAAUACCCGCUGAACUUAAGCAUAUCAAUAAGCGGAGGA